AUUCCGGAAAUUAUGUAAUCACUUAAUCACAAUUAAAAAAAGAAGAACCUCGGGGAAGGUUAGAGAAGUUAGGAAGUGUUAGAGAACAAGUUAAGAGAACUAGUUAGGGUUUAGGAACUAGUUAGGCUUUGGGAAUAUGUUAAGGUCAGGG